rnacentral:rRNA from 1 species
AUACGGAGGGGACAAGCGUUAUUCGGAAUCACUGGGCGUAAAGGACGCGUAGGCGGGUUAUUAAGUCGGGUGUGAAAUCCAAUGGCUCAACCAUUGAACUGCAUUCGAAACUGAUAACCUAGAGUAUGGAAGGGGCAGGUGGAAUUAGUGGUGUAGGGGUAAAAUCCGUAGAUAUCACUAGGAAUACCGAAAGCGAAGGCGACCUGCUGGGACAUUACUGACGCUGAGGCGUGAAAGCGUAGGGAGCAAACAGGAUUAGAAACCCGAGUAGUCC